rnacentral:lncRNA from 12 species
AAUUUGGAUUUAGUUCUUGGACUGAACUAAACAUCUGCAUCCAGGCCAAUGGCUAAAUCUUCUUCUACCACAGAGGUCCGUGGAGGGGGACUCCAGGGAUGCUUUCUCAGUGGGACACAACCAGCAGACCUCAGGGAGCUGCACCAGCACACCUGGAGCUGGAAUGCCCACACUCCCAGCACAAGGUGUGCGCAAGUGAGAGGCUCCCAGAAAAGUUGGUGAGUGGGUUUGCAAGAGCCAAGAUUGGUCACAUCACUGUGUGAAUAUGUAACUGGAAUAUUGUGGUAUUAUAGAAGUGGGUUGAAUUGUUUUUAGCAGUUCAUUCAUUUGAAUACUUUUUUUCUUUUUUGAA